rnacentral:rRNA from 1 species
UACGUAGGGUGCAAGCGUUAAUCGGAAUUACUGGGCGUAAAGCGUGCGCAGGCGGUUAUGUAAGGCAGAUGUGAAAUGCCCGGGCUUAACCUGGGAACUGCAUUUGUGACUGCAUGGCUAGAGUUUGGCAGAGGGGGGUAGAAUUCCACGGUGUAGCAGUGAAAUGCGUAGAUAUGUGGAGGAACACCGAUGGCGAAGGCAGCCCCCUGGGUCAAGACUGACGCUCAUGCACGAAAGCGUGGGGAGCAAACAGG